AACGCUGGCGGCGUGCCUAACACAUGCAAGUCGAACGAAGCAUGAUUGAAGGAGACUCGGUCAAUGGAUAUCAUGACUUAGUGGCGGACGGGUGAGUAAUACAUGAGCAACCUGCCUUCAGAGGGGGGACAACAGCUGGAAACGGCUGCUAAUACCGCAUAACGUGCGAGAGGGGCAUCCCUUUUGUACCAAAGGAGCAAUCCGCUGAAAGAUGGGCUCAUGACUGAUUAGUUAGUUGGCAGGGCAACGGCCUACCAAGACUGCGAUCAGUAGCCGGACUGAGAGGUUGAACGGCCACAUUGGGACUGAGAUACGGCCCAGACUCCUACGGGAGGCAGCAGCUAAGAAUCUUCCGCAAUGGGCGAAAGCCUGACGGAGCGACGCCGCGUGAACGAAGAAGGCCGUGAGGUUGUAAAGUUCUUUCGGGAGGGGGAACAACCGUGGCAGGGAAUGGCCGCGGGAUGACGUGAAUCCCGGAAUAAGCCCCGGCUAACUACGUGCCAGCAGCAGC
rnacentral:rRNA from 1 species